UUAUGGCCAUAUCACGUUUAAACACCGGUUUCCGUACGAUCACCGAAAAUAAGCAACGUUGAGCCUGGGCAGAACCUAGAUGGGUGACCGCAU